GCGGAUGUAGUACAUCGGUAGUAUACCAGCUUCCCAAGCUGGGGAGGCGGGUUCGAUUCCCGUCAUCCGCU
rnacentral:tRNA from 1 species